ensembl:lncRNA
CUCGGACAGUCGGGGAUGAGUGCGCUAACAUACCUGUAGGUUGCUGUUUUAAUGAGUGUUUGAUGGAAAACAACAAUGGCGGAGUUUAUGCUCUCCAGUGGCAUGAUAGAAAAGAAUGGCAGGGCUGUGAUCUGCGGGAUCCCUGGCACCCCUGCGAAACAUCAGCCAUCAUCGGCUGGGGCUUUUAAGGAGCUGUGCAGAAGAUGUCUGGUGUCGGAGUAUUGUUUCAUCGCAAGUGCCAGCCUUGCUUCUCUGAUCAGCCCCAUGUCCUCUAAGGAUCAUCUCCAUCUGGACUCCAACUUUUCUCCUUUACCUUUGCCACAGCCUGCCUGCACUCAACCCUCCUCAGACCUUUGGCUCCUCAUCGCCCCCAGUAAUCAGUUCGUGACAAGUAAGCUCUCCAACUCUCUCCCCUCGUAUUAUGCUCGUUUUUGCCUCCCCGUAUACGAGCACUAAUAUCUGCUCUCAUUUUUCUGCAGACCGUUCGAUUACUCCCCUCACACCCCGGAAUUGUGUUGUUUUUGUCAUUGUAAAUUAAACCACUGCACCGCAUCCAAACAUGUCUGUGUGUUCUGCUCCUGAAGUCCACCGAUAUUAUGUCAUAACAAUUACAGAGACCUGGUUACAGCAGGAUGACUGUCUGAUGCUCCUUUAGUUAGCAGAAUGAGUCUGACCUCUGUCACAAUCCUCAAAGUACAUGCUGAAGAGGGGGAUUGGCAGGAAUCUUCCACACCAGGUUAUCUAGCAACUAUAGACCCAGACAGGGUUUUAAUUCAUUAGUCUAAUUCUUAGCUUUGUCCACCCUCAUUGGAAAACUCGAAAAACAGUUUUAUUUGCUGUUAUGCAUGGUCAACCUGCCCCU